rnacentral:rRNA from 1 species
UACGUAGGGGUCGAGCGUUGUCCGGAGUUACUGGGCGUAAAGCGUGCGCAGGCGGCUCAUCGCGCUCGGCGUGAAAGCCCCCCGGCUCAACCGGGGGAGGGUCGUCGAGGACGGGUGAGCUUGAGGGUAUCAGGGGUUGGUGGAAUUCCCGGUGUAGUGGUGAAAUGCGUAGAGAUCGGGAGGAACACCCGUGGCGAAGGCGGCCAACUGGGAUACACCUGACGCUGAGGCACGAAGGCGUGGGGAGCGAACGGG